GACGAGGGAUCCUAGCGUUGUUCGGAAUUAUUGGGCGUAAAGCGGGUGUAGGCGGCUUUAUAAGUCAGGUGUGAAAGCCCGGGGCUUAACCCCGGAAGUGCACUUGAUACUGUUUAGCUUGAGUGUGGUAGAGGCUACUGGAAUUCCUGGUGUAGUGGUGAAAUACGUAGAUAUCAGGAGGAAUACCGGAGGCGAAGGCGGGUAGCUGGGCCAACACUGACGCUGAGACCCGAAAGCGUGGGGAUCAAACAGG
rnacentral:rRNA from 1 species